rnacentral:rRNA from 1 species
GGGUUGUGAGGUUAAGCGACUAAGCGUACACGGUGGAUGCCCUGGCAGUCAGAGGCGAUGAAGGACGUGCUAAUCUGCGAUAAGCGUCGGUAAGGUGAUAUGAACCGUUAUAACCGGCGAUUUCCGAAUGGGGAAACCCAGUGUGUUUCGACACACUAUCAUUAACUGAAUCCAUAGGUUAAUGAGGCGAACCGGGGGAACUGAAACAUCUAAGUACCCCGAGGAAAAGAAAUCAACCGAGAUUCCCCCAGUAGCGGCGAGCGAACGGGGAGGAGCCCAGAGCCUGAAUCAGUGUGUGUGUUAGUGGAAGCGUCUGGAAAGGUGCGCGAUACAGGGUGACAGCCCCGUACACAAAAAUGCACAUGCUGUGAGCUCGAUGAGUAGGGCGGGACACGUGGUAUCCUGUCUGAAUAUGGGGGGACCAUCCUCCAAGGCUAAAUACUCCUGACUGACCGAUAGUGAACCAGUACCGUGAGGGAAAGGCGAAAAGAACCCCGGCGAGGGGAGUGAAAAAGAACCUGAAACCGUGUACGUACAAGCAGUGGGAGCAUGCUUAGGCGUGUGACUGCGUACCUUUUGUAUAAUGGGUCAGCGACUUAUAUUCUGUAGCAAGGUUAACCGAAUAGGGGAGCCGAAGGGAAACCGAGUCUUAACUGGGCGUUAAGUUGCAGGGUAUAGACCCGAAACCCGGUGAUCUAGCCAUGGGCAGGUUGAAGGUUGGGUAACACUAACUGGAGGACCGAACCGACUAAUGUUGAAAAAUUAGCGGAUGACUUGUGGCUGGGGGUGAAAGGCCAAUCAAACCGGGAGAUAGCUGGUUCUCCCCGAAAGCUAUUUAGGUAGCGCCUCGUGAA